UACGUAGGGUGCAAGCGUUGUCCGGAAUUAUUGGGCGUAAAGAGCUCGUAGGCGGUUUGUCGCGUCUGCUGUGAAAACCCGAGGCUCAACCUCGGGCCUGCAGUGGGUACGGGCAGACUAGAGUGCGGUAGGGGAGAUUGGAAUUCCUGGUGUAGCGGUGAAAUGCGCAGAUAUCAGGAGGAACACCGGUGGCGAAGGCGGCAUCCUGGACCAACACUGACGCUGAGGAGCGAAAGCCAGGGGAGCAAACGGG
rnacentral:rRNA from 1 species